rnacentral:lncRNA from 1 species
AGAGAGCGGUAUGGAAAGACCAAGUCAGGAAAGAACCACAUAACACGAAGAGACUUCAGAGCUUGCAAGCUAACCAACAUGGUGAGAUCACAAAAAGCCAAACACGAAAUAUCAAUAUGAGAGUUCAGCCAGGUAUGACUUUAUCACUCUGAUUUUGCGUAUGUUCUGUUGACACGUCACAGCAUGACAACACACACUGAGGCAAGUUGUUUGUUUAGCCAGAGCCUUUCUAGCCAUCCCUAUAUGUAUGUUUCCCUUCGUAAACCCCGUUGAGCCUUAGCCAUUUUGUUCAUUGUAAACCCCAUGUUAACGUUUAAGCAUUAUUCAUCAUAAACCCCCUGUUAACUUUUAAUCAUCCAUUUCCUUUUGUGUCAUAACUCGGUAUGAUUGUGUGAAUUGCAAGAUGUGCAAUAAAACUAAGUUUGGGGUGGAAAUCUUGAAAGAGAAGGCAAGUGCAUAAGAUGAGAUCAUACAAAAAGAAAAACAGUAUGUAUUUUCUUUAAAAGAAAAAAAAGAGAAAAAAAAGAAAAAGAAAAGAAACACAAAAGAGAAAAAUGCACUUGCCGAGACUUUAGACUCUAACAGAUAUAAAAUGCUCGGAAAAUGUGAGUAGAAAAAAGUCAAAAGAGUUUUUACCCCAGAGUAUACGUGAUGCACGGAAAAAAGAAAAGAAAGAAAAAGUACACAACAUGACUACCGAGUUCAAAAACCCUUGUUAUCCAAUUUUUU